GUUAGAUAACCAACCUAAACUUAUGUUGUUUUUCCCCAGAUGACAUCAGGAGCCCCUGUCCUUCUGCUGAGUGUCUCCAUCAGGAGCCCGGCACGCUGAUCAGAAAAUAUACAAUAGUUAAUAAGAAGAUGGACAUAACAGCAUGAUAAAGACCCUCUGGAGAAUUCCCUCUGCUGGGCCAAGUUCCAAAAAUGUAGAGACAGACCCUCUAACAUGCUGUGGUGGAGUUUAAAGACUGACCCUCUAUGCUGUGAGAAAGGGGAAGCCCAGAGCUGGACACUGACAGAC